rnacentral:lncRNA from 1 species
CUGCAUUGAAGAGAACUAACUGUUAAAGUAUGGCUGUUAUAUUUUUUUUGAGUAAUAAUAGAGCAUUCUAAGCAAUCAUAGGACACAUUCUCGUACACAUUUUAAACGAAAAUCAAGUAUGAUUCAGCAUAAUUCCAAGUAAAUGGCACUCAAUGGGUAGAAUGUAGCAUUAUUGGAAUUUCAGUUACAAUAAGCUAAAGGGCAGCAAUCAUGAGGUAAUCAAAAUAAAGUCAGAAAAGUGAUUCAGCCAUGGGUUAUCAACAGACAGAAUUCCAAAAGUAGCAAUAAAAGAGAUAUAUAUCAGAAACUCCUACCUGUUAAGCUCUCCCAAUUUUCAGUUAAACAUCAUCAUUAUCAACAUAAAGGAGAGUAUUCAUGGGCAGCCUUAAAGGAGAAUAAAAAACUGAAGCAAUCCAGAAAGUCUUUUAGUUACAUCAAUAAUCAGCAUAAAAGAAUAACCAAGAGAGUAGAGAAGGGGGCUAUCAUACAUGGUUAUCAAAAAAAGGGAACUCACAGCCAGAGAGAGCAGAUCACACAGUGAUAAAAGCAGCAAGCAGAAAGUAACAUAGAAAAGGGAGAGAGAUAAGUUUUAUGGGAUAGAGAAAUUAUUAUAAAAAGCAAAGCAUAAGUGUAGGCAUAGUUCUGACAGAUUACACAAAAGCAAGAGGAGACA